rnacentral:rRNA from 1 species
AAUGGGCGCAAGCCUGAUCCAGCCAUGCCGCGUGAGUGAUGAAGGCCUUAGGGUCGUAAAGCUCUUUCGCUGGGGAUGAUAAUGACAGUACCCAGUAAAGAAACCCCGGCUAACUCCGUGCCAGCAGCCGCGGUAAUACGGAGGGGGUUAGCGUUGUUCGGAAUUACUGGGCGUAAAGCGCGCGUAGGCGGAUUGGAAAGUUGGGGGUGAAAUCCCGGGGCUCAACCUCGGAACUGCCUCCAAAACUAUCAGUCUAGAGUUCGAGAGAGGUGAGUGGAAUUCCGAGUGUAGAGGUGAAAUUCGUAGAUAUUCGGAGGAACACCAGUGGCGAAGGCGGCUCAUUGGCUCGAUACUGACGCUGAGGUGCGAAAGUGUGGGGAGCAAACAGGAUU